rnacentral:rRNA from 1 species
GAUGAACGCUGGCGGCGUGCCUAAUACAUGCAAGUCGAGCGAACAGACGAGGAGCUUGCUCCUCUGACGUUAGCGGCGGACGGGUGAGUAACACGUGGAUAACCUACCUAUAAGACUGGGAUAACUUCGGGAAACCGGAGCUAAUACCGGAUAAUAUAUUGAACCGCAUGGUUCAAUAGUGAAAGACGGUUUUGCUGUCACUUAUAGAUGGAUCCGCGCCGCAUUAGCUAGUUGGUAAGGUAACGGCCUACCAAGGCAACGAUGCGUAGCCGACCUGAGAGGGUGAUAGGCCACACUGGAAGUGAAACACGGUCCAGACUACUACGAGAGGGAGCAGUCGGGAAUCUUCCGCAAUGGGCGAAAGCCUGACGGAGCAACGCCGCGUGAGUGAUGGAGGUCUUGGGAUCGUGAAACUCUGUUAUUAGGGAAGAACAUAUGUGUAAGUAACUAUGCACGUCUUGACGGUACCUGAUCAGAAAGCCACGGCUAACUACGUG